UGGGGAAUCUUGGACAAUGGGGGAAACCCUGAUCCAGCCAUCCCGCGUGUGCGAUGAAGGCCUUCGGGUUGUAAAGCACUUUUGGUAGGAAAGAAACGUCAUGGGUUAAUACCCCGUGAAACUGACGGUACCUGCAGAAUAAGCACCGGCUAACUACGUGCCAGCAGCCGCGGUAAUACGUAGGGUGCAAGCGUUAAUCGGAAUUACUGGGCGUAAAGCGUGCGCAGGCGGUUCGGAAAGAAAGAUGUGAAAUCCCAGAGCUCAACUUUGGAACUGCAUUUUUAACUACCGGGCUAGAGUGUGUCAGAGGGAGGUGGAAUUCCACGUGUAGCAGUGAAAUGCGUAGAUAUGCGGAGGAACACCGAUGGCGAAGGCGGCCUCCUGGGAUAACACUGACGCUCAUGCACGAAAGCGUGGGGAGCAAACAGG
rnacentral:rRNA from 1 species